rnacentral:rRNA from 1 species
UAGGGAAUCUUCGGCAAUGGACGAAAGUCUGACCGAGCAACGCCGCGUGAGUGAAGAAGGUUUCCGGAUCGUAAAACUCUGUUGUUAGAGAAGAACAAGGACGUUAGUAACUGAACGUCCCCUGACGGUAUCUAACCAGAAAGCCACGGCUAACUACGUGCCAGCAGCCGCGGUAAUACGUAGGUGGCAAGCGUUGUCCGGAUUUAUUGGGCGUAAAGCGAGCGCAGGCGGUUUCUUAAGUCUGAUGUGAAAGCCCCCGGCUCAACCGGGGAGGGUCAUUGGAAACUGGGAGACUUGAGUGCAGAAGAGGAGAGUAGAAUUCCAUGUGUAGCGGUGAAAUGCGUAGAUAUAUGGAGGAACACCAGUGGCGAAGGCGGCUCUCUGGUCUGUAACUGACGCUGAGGCUCGAAAGCGUGGGGAGCAAACAGG